UACGUAGGGGGCUAGCGUUAUCCGGAAUUACUGGGCGUAAAGGGUGCGUAGGUGGUUUCUUAAGUCAGAGGUGAAAGGCUACGGCUCAACCGUAGUAAGCCUUUGAAACUGGGAAACUUGAGUGCAGGAGAGGAGAGUGGAAUUCCUAGUGUAGCGGUGAAAUGCGUAGAUAUUAGGAGGAACACCAGUUGCGAAGGCGGCUCUCUGGCCUGUAACUGACACUGAGGCUCGAAAGCGUGGGGAGCAAACAGG
rnacentral:rRNA from 1 species